rnacentral:rRNA from 1 species
GCAACCUACCUCAAUCAGGGGGAUAGCCCGAAGAAAUUCGGAUUAACACCGCAUAAAAACACAGUACAGCAUUGUACAAUGUUCAAAUAUUUAUAGGAUUGAGAUGGGCAUGCGUGUCAUUAGCUAGUUGGCGGGGUAACGGCCCACCAAGGCGACGAUGACUAGGGGAUCUGAGAGGAUGACCCCCCACACUGGUACUGAGACACGGACCAGACUCCUACGGGAGGCAGCAGUAAGGAAUAUUGGUCAAUGGAGGGAACUCUGAACCAGCCAUGCCGCGUGCAGGAAGACAGCCCUCUGGGUCGUAAACUGCUUUUAUUCGGGAAUAAACCUACUUACGUGUAAGUAGCUGAAUGUACCGAAGGAAUAAGGAUCGGCUAACUCCGUGCCAGCAGCCGCGGUAAUACGGAGGAUCCAAGC